CCUACGGGUGGCUGCAGUGGGGAAUAUUGCACAAUGGGCGCAAGCCUGAUGCAGCCAUGCCGCGUGUGUGAAGAAGGCCUUCGGGUUGUAAAGCACUUUCAGCGGGGAGGAAGGCGGUGAGGUUAAUAACCUCAUCGAUUGACGUUACCCGCAGAAGAAGCACCGGCUAACUCCGUGCCAGCAGCCGCGGGAAUACGGAGGGUGCAAGCGUUAAUCGGAAUUACUGGGCGUAAAGCGCACGCAGGCGGUCUGUCAAGUCGGAUGUGAAAUCCCCGGGCUCAACCUGGGAACUGCAUUCAAAGCUGGCAGGCUAGAGUCUUGUAGAGGGGGGUAGAAUUCCAGGUGUAGCGGUGAAAUGCGUAGAGAUCUGGAGGAAUACCGGUGGCGAAGGCGGCCCCCUGGACAAAGACUGACGCUCAGGUGCGAAAGCGUGGGGAGCAAACAGGAUUAGAUACCCGGGUAGUC
rnacentral:rRNA from 1 species